CCUACGGGUGGCAGCAGUGAGGAAUAUUGGUCAAUGGUCGGGAGACUGAACCAGCCAAGCCGCGUGAGGGAUGAAGGUCCAGAGUAUCGUAAACCUCUUUUGUCAGGGAACAAAGGCGGGGACGUGUCCCCGGAUUCGUGUCCCUCAAGAACAAGCAUCGGCUAACUCCGUGCCAGCAGCCGCGGUAAUACGGAGGAUGCGGGCGUUAUCCGGAUUUAUUGGGUUAAAGGGGUGCGCAGGCGGUACGUUAAGCCAGAGGUAAAAGCCCGGGGCCAAACCCCAGCCCGCCGUUGAAACUGGCAGGCUGGAGUGGGAGAGAAGUAGGCGGAAUGCGCGGUGUAGCGGUGAAAUGCAUAGAUAUCGCGAAGAACUCCGAUUGCGAAGGCAGCAUGCCGGCUCCAAACUGACGCUGAGGCACGAAAGCGUGGGUAUCGAACAGGAUUAGAUACCCGAGUAGUC
rnacentral:rRNA from 1 species